AGUGAACGCUGGCGGUAGGCCUAACACAUGCAAGUCGAACGGCAGCACAGUAAGAGCUUGCUCUUACGGGUGGCGAGUGGCGGACGGGUGAGGAAUACAUCGGAAUCUACUUUUUCGUGGGGGCUAACGUAGGGAAACUUACGCUAAUACCGCAUACGACCUACGGUUGAAAGCAGGGGAUCUUCGGACCUUGCGCGAUUGAAUGAGCCGAUGUCGGAUUAGCUAGUUGGCGGGGUAAAGGCCCACCAAGGCGACGAUCCGUAGCUGGUCGGAGAGGAUGAGCAGCCACACUGGAAAUGAGACACGGUCCAGACGCCUACGGGAGGCAGCAGUGGGGAAUAUUGGACAAUGGGCGCAAGCCUGAUCCAGCCAUGCCGCGUGGGUGAAGAAGGCCUUCGGGUUGUAAAGCCCUUUUGUUGGGAAAGAAAAGCAGCAGGUUAAUACCCCGCUGUUCUGACGGUACCCAAAGAAUAAGCACCGGCUAACUUCGUG
rnacentral:rRNA from 1 species